GAUGAACGCUAGCGGCAGGCUUAACACAUGCAAGUCGAGGGGUAUGCCGAUUUAUCGGCAGAGACCGGCGCACGGGUGCGUAACGCGUAUGCAAUCUACCUUUCACAGAGGGAUAGCCCAGAGAAAUUUGGAUUAAUACCUCAUAGUAUAGCAGUUUCGCAUGAAACCACUAUUAAAGUUCCAACGGUGAAAGAUGAGCAUGCGUCCCAUUAGCUAGAUGGUAAGGUAACGGCUUACCAUGGCUACGAUGGGUAGGGGUCCUGAGAGGGAGAUCCCCCCACACUGGUACUGAGACACGGACCAGACUCCUACGGGAGGCAGCAGUGAGGAAUAUUGGACAAUGGGCGGCAAGUCCUGAUCCAGCCAUGCGCGUGCAGGAUGACGGU
rnacentral:rRNA from 1 species